AGCGGGAAGUAGUUUACUACUUUGCCGGCGAGCGGCGGACGGGUGAGUAAUGUCUGGGAAACUGCCUGAUGGAGGGGGAUAACUACUGGAAACGGUAGCUAAUACCGCAUAACGUCUUCGGACCAAAGUGGGGGACCUUCGGGCCUCACGCCAUCGGAUGUGCCCAGAUGGGAUUAGCUAGUAGGUGGGGUAAUGGCUCACCUAGGCGACGAUCCCCAGCUGGUCUGAGAGGAUGACCAGCCACACUGGAACUGAGACACGGUCCAGACUCCUACGGGAGGCAGCAGUGGGGAAUAUUGCACAAUGGGCGCAAGCCUGAUGCAGCCAUGCCGCGUGUGUGAAGAAGGCCUUCGGGUUGUAAAGCACUUUCAGCGAGGAGGAAGGCCAAUAACUUAAUACGUUGUUGGAUUGACGUUACUCGCAGAAGAAGCACCGGCUAACUCCGUGCCAGCAGCCGCGGUAAUACGGAGGGUGCAAGCGUUAAUCGGAAUUACUGGGCGUAAAGCGCACGCAGGCGGUUUGUUAAGUCAGAUGUGAAAUCCCCGCGCUUAACGUGGGAACUGCAUUUGAAACUGGCAAGCUAGAGUCUUGUAGAGGGGGGUAGAAUUCCAGGUGUAGCGGUGAAAUGCGUAGAGAUCUGGAGGAAUACCGGUGGCGAAGGCGGCCCCCUGGACAAAGACUGACGCUCAGGUGCGAAAGCGUGGGGAGCAAACA
rnacentral:rRNA from 1 species